AUGUACUCGGGUCUAGAGGACACCUCUCGAACCCACCCGGAGGAGGUUGACGAGGAGAUGGUGGCUCAGUGGCUCAGGAGCAUUACCGGCAACAAGGAUAACCCCAGGGGGUCCAGGAGGAUUCUGCCAUUCGAUGUCAACAAUGCUCCUGAAGAGAUUUUCACCAAGAUGUACUCGAUGCCGAAUGGAGAGCAGUACCAAGAAGGAGUUGAGAGUGAUGGCGAGAGCGGUGAUUAUCAGUAUGUAGAUCACAGUGAAGAUGACAGUAAGGACUCGGGCAGCAGCGAAGAAGUCGAUUCACCUCCCCACUCGGAGCGUCGCUCCAAAUAG
rnacentral:rRNA from 1 species